AUUUUCAUGACCUUACUCUCUUAUAAUUGCAGCUGGAGGAUUUCAGAGGAAUGAUUUAAAAUUUAACAGGUUUCAUCAGAUUAAUGAUAGAACUGAUGAGCUCCAGAUCAAAUCUGGAGGAUGGAGAGUUCUAGUUUUCAACACUGCAAGGAGGAGAUACGACUCCAAAAGAUGUCGGGACAGGGCUCUUGCACCUUGGUGACUGUGUCAACCAGAUUCAGUGGUGGGUACAAGCAGUGAGGACACCAGCUCCAGUCCCCGUCCCUCUGCUGUCCCCGGAACUGCUGUGGCAGGAUUCUCCAGGCUGGGUUAAAGACUCAGUGAAAUCUAUUUUGUAACAGACAGACGAGGAGCAACUUCCACAGAGACCUACUGCACCAACUCAUGAAGUCAGCAAGCCUGAAGGAAUCACAUCGCCUUGAAGCCACCGCAAGGACACGGAAAGUGGUUGAAAACAUAACUCAGCCUCCUCAGCGAGCACCUGGCUGUGCCCUCACCCAGAGGAGACUGUGGAAAGCCCACAGAAUGGAGAUACAGAGACGGACCCAAAGACAUAGUCAACGAGAAGCUGCUGAGGAACACGAGGGUCCCUGUACAUCCCCUGAGGACUGA
rnacentral:lncRNA from 1 species